GACGAACGCUGGCGGCGUGCCUAAUACAUGCAAGUCGGACGCAGUUGCGAACGGGUGAGUAACGCGUAGGUCACUGCCUAUUAGAGGGGGAUAACUAUUGGAAACGAUAGCUAAUACCGCAUACUAGUAGAUUGACCUGCGUUGUAUUAGCUUGUAGGUAGGGUAAUGGCCUACCUAGGCAACGAUAAAUAGCCGACGUGGGAGGGUGAUCGGCCAAAAUGGGACUGGGACAACGGCCAGACUCCUAAGGGAAGGAGGAGUAGGGGAAUAUCGGACAUGGGGGGAAAGCUGGACGGUCAAAGCCGGGUGAGGGAAGAAGGGUUUCGGGUCGUAAAGCUAUGUUGAUAAGGAAGCGGUACUUAACCAGAAAGGGACGGCUAACUACGUGCCAGCAGCCGCGGUAAUUC
rnacentral:rRNA from 1 species